UACGUAGGGUCCGAGCGUUGUCCGGAAUUACUGGGCGUAAAGAGCUCGUAGGUGGUUUGUCGCGUUGUUCGUGAAAACUCACAGCUCAACUGUGGGCGUGCGGGCGAUACGGGCAGACUUGAGUACUGCAGGGGAGACUGGAAUUCCUGGUGUAGCGGUGGAAUGCGCAGAUAUCAGGAGGAACACCGGUGGCGAAGGCGGCUUUCUGGACAGAUACCGACGCUGAGGCGCGAAAGCUAGGGGAGCAAACGGG
rnacentral:rRNA from 1 species